AUUGAACGCUAGCGGGAUGCUUUACACAUGCAAGUCGAACGGCAGCGCGGACUUCGGUCUGGCGGCGAGUGGCGAACGGGUGAGUAAUGUAUCGGAACGUGCCCAGUUGCGGGGGAUAACUACGCGAAAGCGUAGCUAAUACCGCAUACGCCCUACGGGGGAAAGCAGGGGAUCGUAAGACCUUGCACUAUUGGAGCGGCCGAUAUCGGAUUAGCUAGUUGGUGAGGUAACGGCGCACCAAGGCGACGAUCCGUAGCUGGUUUGAGAGGACGAGCAGCCACACUGGGACUGAGACACGGCCCAGACUCCUACGGGAGGCAGCAGUGGGGAAUUUUGGACAAUGGGGGCAACCCUGAUCCAGCCAUCCCGCGUGUGCGAUGAAGGCCUUCGGGUUGUAAAGCACUUUUGGCAGGAAAGAAACGUCGCGGGCUAAUACCCCGUGGAACUGACGGUACCUGCAGAAUAAGCACCGGCUAACUACGUG
rnacentral:rRNA from 1 species